UACGAAGGGGGCUAGCGUUGCUCGGAAUCACUGGGCGUAAAGGGUGCGUAGGCGGGUUUUUAAGUCAGGGGUGAAAUCCUGGAGCUCAACUCCAGAACUGCCUUUGAUACUGAAGAUCUUGAGUUCGGGAGAGGUGAGUGGAACUGCGAGUGUAGAGGUGAAAUUCGUAGAUAUUCGCAAGAACACCAGUGGCGAAGGCGACUCACUGGCCCGGUACUGACGCUGAGGUGCGAAAGCGUGGGGAGCAAACAGG
rnacentral:rRNA from 1 species